ACGAACGCUGGCGGCAUGCCUAAUACAUGCAAGUCGAGCGAACGGAUGAGGAGCUUGCUCCUCUGACGUUAGCGGCGAAUGGGUGAGUAACACGUGGGCAACCUGCCCUGUAGUUGGGGAUAACUCCGGGAAACCGGGGCUAAUACCGAAUGAUUAAUUCUUUCUCAUGAAAGGAUUCUGAAAGACGGCUUCGGCUGUCGCUACGGGAUGGGCCCGCGGCGCAUUAGCUAGUUGGUAAGGUAACGGCUUACCAAGGCGACGAUGCGUAGCCGACCUGAGAGGGUGAUCGGCCACACUGGGACUGAGACACGGCCCAGACUCCUACGGGAGGCAGCAGUAGGGAGUCAUCCACAAUGGACGAAAGUCUGAUGGUGCAAUGCCGCGUGAGCGAAGAAGGUUUUCGGAUCGUAAAGCUCUGUUAUGAGGGAAGAACAAGUACAAGAGUAACUGCUUGUACCUUGACGGUACCUCAUUAGAAAGCCACGGCUAACUACGUG
rnacentral:rRNA from 1 species